GCCCUGGUGGCUCAGAUGGUAAAGCAUCUGCCUGCAAUGCGGGAGACCCAGGUUCGAUCCCUGGGUUGGGAA
rnacentral:tRNA from 1 species